UACGGAGGGGGCUAGCGUUGUUCGGAAUUACUGGGCGUAAAGCGCGCGUAGGCGGACCUGCAAGUCGGGGGUGAAAGCCCGAGGCUCAACCUUGGAACUGCCUUUGAUACUGGAAGUCUUGAGUAUGGUAGAGGUUGGUGGAACUGCGAGUGUAGAGGUGAAAUUCGUAGAUAUUCGCAAGAACACCAGUGGCGAAGGCGGCCAACUGGACCAUUACUGACGCUGAGGUGCGAAAGCGUGGGGAGCAAACAGG
rnacentral:rRNA from 1 species